GACGAACGCUGGCGGCGUGCUUAACACAUGCAAGUCGAACGGAAAGGCCCUGCUUUUGUGGGGUGCUCGAGUGGCGAACGGGUGAGUAACACGUGAGUAACCUGCCCUUGACUUUGGGAUAACUUCAGGAAACUGGGGCUAAUACCGGAUAGGAGCUCCUGCUGCAAGGUGGGGGUUGGAAAGUUUCGGCGGUUGGGGAUGGACUCGCGGCUUAUCAGCUUGUUGAUGGGGUAGUGGCUUACCAAGGCUUUGACGGGUAGCCGGCCUGAGAGGGUGACCGGCCACAUUGGGACUGAGAUACGGCCCAGACUCCUACGGGAGGCAGCAGUGGGGAAUAUUGCACAAUGGGCGGAAGCCUGAUGCAGCAACGCCGCGUGCGGGAUGACGGCCUUCGGGUUGUAAACCGCUUUCGCCUGUGACGAAGCGUGAGUGACGGUAAUGGGUAAAGAAGCACCGGCUAACUACGUG
rnacentral:rRNA from 1 species